CGGUGCCAGGGGCAUUGUGCCGUUCUUACAGCUCAGCUGGGCUGUCACUGCUCAGGACUUCUGACACCAAAGCAGGUGCCGUGCUCACUCUGGAUCUCACAGUAAUUCCUGGCCUCUUUUUCCUCUCCAGUUAAAGGCUCAUGCCACAUCAACAGCACUGAAAAGGAAGAGAUGCUUCCUGGAGAUGAGCUGCACUGCUGGAAGGAAAACACCGGCCUUGUGUUGAAGCUUCUGAUAGUUCCUAUGGCUCUCCUGCCCUGCAUCUGGCAACCUCCAGCUCCAGAGCCACCACGAAGCCGAGAGAAGCUGGAGAGAAGUGUGAAGGCUGAUUGGAGCCUCUUGCUGGUGACAGGUAACUGGGUGUUUCUCUGUGAAAGGAGUGGAAAUGGGAGGUAAGAGAGAGAACUCAUUUCCUGGAGAGAAUGUGGAUUCACUCAAGCCAUCAUGAGGUGACCGGGCAGGUGACAAGGAAAAGAAAGUUCCAUAAUGACACCUGAAUUAUUGCACUGGAUUUUCCCCUGCACCUACGCACCGCUCUUUGGACCUGAAGGCAAAAUUCUCAUCCCCAACACCCAGCUAGAAGAGUAACAAAACUAAAAACAACAAAAAACAACACAAACAUGCAAAAUAAGACUUCAUACCCAGAUAACAAGUACAGCAGCAACCAUUGGCCCAGGAAACACACAGCUCAGCAGAGCUCAGCUGAUAUGCCCAAGCAGUGCAUUCAGCCAUUGCAUCAUUCCAUGUGUGGCAUUUUUGGAUCCAUGUGUUCCUGUGUCUUUUUGCAGCCUGCCAGCAACAUCCAGUAUUUCACAGUCCAACCUCUCACCCUUGUGAGACGUUCUCAUUCCUGGAUCCUUUGCAAGUCAUCCACCUGCAACAUCCCAUUCUGUUUGCUGUUCAAAGUCCCCUUGUUCUCCCUGAGAUCCACUGCACUGUGCUGAAAGCAGCAGUGAGCACAUUAACCAUAGAAGUCUGUCACUAAAAUAAAUUUUUUUAAAAGAGAGAUAAAUCUUAUGAGCACUGAGAGGACACUGGAGGGGAGAUCCUAGUAUUGAAAGUAUUCCCCUUCUCCAAGGUGCAGUAGCAAAGGUAUUUCUGGGUAAGAAACACUGAAAAAGCUGUUAAAAGACAAAAUGAGGUUCUGGUGCUGUCUCUGAUGCAGAGAGAUGUCAUGGAACCUGUGAGAUGCUCUGCCUCCUUGUGCACUGCACUGCCCACAUGCAUCACCCUGCUUCGUCAGCUCAGGAAAGCACUUCUGACCACACCUGCAACAAUCCCUGAGUCUGACAGCAUCAAAGUUCAUACAUUGCAUUCAGCUAUAUGGCUAGCUGCAGCAGUGCUACACCCGUGGGGAUAUUUUUCUGAACAACUGGAAGAUGGGGAAGGAAAAAAACAUCCUCUUGUCAUGUCAGUUCAUCUCACAGGCAGACAGAGCAGCUCUGGACCUGAAUGCAUGGUGGAACGUGCUGCCCAGGCAGGUGACAAGGCUGCUGUGGAUGGUUUGCCAGGCUUGUCUGGGCCCACAGCAUGCAGUUGGCAGAAUGUUGGCAGUUUGUAUAUCCUGUAUGUGAGCUGGAAAUAAUUGGUUUCAAAGCCAGCUUUGAAAGGGUGUGUAUGUCUGAGCUCAAAUUGUUAGCGUAUAGUUAUGCUAAAAACAUUCAAGUUUAAACAGAUAAUAUUCAGGGUACUGAAUAGAGAGAAGGAAGAAUCAAAGACAAGUGCCAGUACAAUGAUUCAACAGAGCACCUGGAAAAUAGACACUACUGCUUUGCAGAUGACCACUGGAAAAAAGACCACGCAAAUAAUGCAUUCAGUGUAAUUAUCAUCACCAUGUAGUGUACAUCAAGGAAAUCUGUGAGCAGGGGGAGCACGGUUCUUCCAAGCUCUCAGAAAUUAAAUUCAACAUGUGAGGGACCUCUUGGCACAAUAGCAAUUCACCAGCUCACAGCCCUGACCAAGACAGCCAUUGUGAAUUACUUAAUUCUUGCAAAUUAGGAAGUGAAUAAACAUGACUCAAAAAUUCAAGUUACUUCACUGAAGAAAAAAAAAAAAAUAGUUAUAAAGGCAGCACUCAGAUGCUCUGCUCUGUAGGCGCAGCCAGCUGAAUGGGAUCUUAAGGCUCCAAGGGCUCAUUUGGCUCAGCCCAAAACCAGCCAACACAUCCCUGCAAGGACACCAGACUUUCAGGGUGUUACUCUUAUGAGGAUGGUUUCUUUAAGACAGCAGUGAUGCAACUGCCUCUAAAAUAUGACUUUGAAGUAACAAAAUCAGCAAAAGCAGCUGAUGGCAAGCUGUAAAGCAGAAGCCAAAGUUUGAUUUACUUUUUUUUCACUUAAAAAAAAAAGAAAAAAGACACAGCAGCAGCUGGGGCCGGUACCACCAUAGCACCAAGGCACUGCGGUUUGUUGCAGGGCCAAGUGCUGCCAGACACACAGACACACCGUGUUUCCCUCCCACCAAAUAUGGAGCCAAGCUGCUGAGCCACUAGCACACAUUUUAAAGCCAUGACGUAAUGGCACCCGACCUCUUGCUGCUGUAAAAGAUGAAAAAGAGCUUCGGGUCUGCUCAGAGGAGCAGAGGCAGCGGCAGCCUUUUCUCUGCAUCCCCUCUUCCUCCUGACAGACCCCACUGCCCCCGGGUCUCUGUCCCACCAUGUCCCCAAGGAUGUCCCUUCCCAAGAACCAGGGCCUGGGAAUGGAGUGGAGAUCCCAGAAGAGAAGGAGGGAAUGGGGAACAUCCACACAGAUGGAUAAGUAAAAACAGAGGGAGAACUUUAGAGAGCAAGAAAGUAGAGGACAUGUUUUAAACAUCUUGAACUUUGACUGUGCUGCUGACACUUUGUGGUUACUCUCAUCCUUACUUGGGAACAUGGGUGCUGCCCUGCAAACGGGGAUCAAGGCUUCUUUCUUAACCCCUCCUCUUCCUUAAUACCUCACACAGGGAAAGCGAUUCCUCAUUUUAUCUUACUCUGAGAUCUCCCUCGUUUCAUUCAGGCGGAGACACUGGGAACAGAGGCUAAGGGGAGCAGUAGAAAAAUAGACAAGGAAGUUAGAAAUAAAUGCCCUUACCUCAUGUAUCUCACACCUCUCCACGUGGUUGGCAGGGAGAAGGUCCCACUAACUACAAGGCCAGUGUACGGGCACGACAUAAUGGCACAUGAAAAAAUAACGAGUGCCUUGACAGAUAUACAAUGAGGAAAUAACAUUAACCAACACCCAGUUUACUUUUCAGUUCAUGACUGCUCAGCUAUGGCAAUACAAUGAUGUAAUUCAGAGGCAGACACACAGGUUUGUACCCCCUGACAAAGAAUCUCAUGGAAAAGGCUCUGGGGAGAAAAUUUUAAGACUCAGACCUACUCAGGUACCUUCUACUUAAAGUCUGGAAGGAAAAGAAUUCUGACUCUUUCCAUGGACUUUGGACCAGGCCAAGAAGCAGUGGCUGAAUCUAAUUGCCUAGUGUCAUAAGUGCCUGUGAUUUUCCUGAAGCUGCAUUUCACCCCUGCUGCACGCUGUGGCUGUUUCUGGCCUCAAAGAAACACCUGCUGGUGAGCAUGUUGCUGUCUGUCUGCUCAUUCAAGCAGUACGUAAUGAACAGACUCAUGCUCCCUAGAAAGUAUUUACAACAGAAAGCAUGAGUACACGGAAUGGUCAUCCAGAUCCGGAUUUCUUUUUACUCACAGUAAUGCUAUGAUUUGUCCUCAAUUCAAGCUGCCAUUUCAGAAUUAAAACUUGCUUUUAAAAUAUGAUUGCAAGUCACAGGAAUUCAGAGCAGCACAUAAAGUCUGCCAGAAACAGAAAAACAAUUGCCAGAAAAAUCAUAGGAAAAAACCCCGGUUGCAAAUUCAUUUCCUGUACAGCAACAAGAGCAGUAUGUUGCCCUUCUGAACCAUAUCCUUUUAAUAAACUUUUUAUUGCUGUAGAACAAUUGAAAGUUAUCUGUAAAGCACAGAAUCCAUUCAUAGAAUCAGAGAAUCAUAGAAUGGCCUG